rnacentral:rRNA from 1 species
UACGUAGGGUGCGAGCGUUAAUCGGAAUUACUGGGCGUAAAGCGUGUGUAGGCGGUCCGUUAAGUACCUUGUGAAAUCCCCCGGCUCAACCGGGGAACUGCUGGGUAUACUGGCGGGCUUGAGAAACUCAGGGGUCAGCGGAACAAAUGGUGGAGCGGUGAAAUGCGUAGAUAUCAUUUGGAACGCCGAUGGUGAAAACAGCUGACUGGGGGGUUUUCUGGACGCUGAGACAC